AACGAACGCUAGCGGCGUGCCUUACACAUGCAAGUCGAACGGAGCGGCGAACGGGUGCGUAAUGCCUCGGAAUGUGCCUAGUAGUGGGGGAUAACUACGCGAAAGCGGAGCUAAUACCGCAUACUAUCAGAGCAGCCGAGAUCGGAUUAGCUAGUUGGUGGGGUAAAGGCCUACCAAGGCGACGAUCCGGAACUGGUCUGAGAGGACGACCAGCCAAACUGGAACGGAGACACGGCCCAGACUCCUACGGGAGGCGGCAGUGGGGAAUUUUGGACAAUGGGGGAAACCCUGAUCCAGCCAUCCCGCGUGUGCGAAGAGGGUCUUCGGAUUGUAAAGCACUUUAAGCUGGAAGGCGGUACCAACAGAAUAAGCACCGGCUAACUACGUGCCAGCAGCCGCGGUAAUAC
rnacentral:rRNA from 1 species